UCCAGCUUAUCACCGGCAGUUUCCUUAGAGUCCCCAGCAUUAUCUGAUGGUAACUAAGGAUGAGGGUUGCGCUCGUUGCGGGACUUAACCCAACAUCUCACGACACGAGCUGACGACAACCAUGCAACACCUGUGCAGGAUCCAGCCGAACUGAAGGAGUCCAUUUCUGGUCUCCGCGAUCCGCAUGUCAAGAGCUGGUAAGGUUCUUCGCGUAGCUUCGAAUUAAACCGCAUACUCCACCGCUUGUGCGGGCCCCCGUCAAUUCCUUUGAGUUUUAAUCUUGCGACCGUACUCCCCAGGCGGAGUGCUUAAUGUGUUAACUUUGACACCAACAAUUGCUGAUAUCUAGCACUCAUCGUUUACGGCGUGGACUAC
rnacentral:misc_RNA from 1 species